CCUUUCGAAUAGAAGAGAAAUGGCCAUUAAACAGCAGAUAGUGGGCAGGGUACACACAAAGAAGGAAAACAGCAGCCUAAGACUCCAAGUGGCUUUCCUGUUUUCUUUCAGAUGAGUCCCUACCGAUCCUGUGAGAUGCAUCUUUCCUAGGUAUCCCAGAGGCUCCUGGCCUCCCUUUCCCUCUGUCUCCUCUGGAGGAAGUCCACUGUCCUUUGAAUUCACUCUUCUGCAUGAAUAUGGUCACUGGGAUCACCUUUCAGGAAGUAGCCAGAUGCCCCAGGCUCUCACAGUUCGUUGCGGAGGCACCAAGCGGCCCGCACACGCUCCUUUGUGCCCAAUGCAAGGGAACAGAGGAGGUGGGGCCUUUCCAGCACGCAUUUUAAAUAAAGUGGCCGCCAUUUUUGCCUA